CGUGCCUGGGGUGGGGACUGUCGGGCGGGCGAGGAGGUGACCCCGGUGAUCCUGACUCCUGGUGAGGGGGAUGAACUGGGGGGAGAGGGAGGUUGGAAUGGCGGAGCCCCUGGUCUCUGGGGUGCGGAUGGGGAAUAGGUAACCUCCCGGGUUUCUACGAAAGUAGGAGCUGGGCUGAGUGGAGAGAACAGGGUGCUGGGAUGAGAGCGGGACAGGGAUUCGUAGGUCCCGGAAGACAGGAAAGCCAGGGUCGUUGGUGGGGGCUGGUUUAGGAUCUGAGACCACGAGAAGGCUUAGAGGGCUUGGCGGGGACCGGGGGCCGUCCCUGCACCCAAAAGGCCUCUGUGGCUCUUCUGCAGCUCCCACAGCCGCCCUUUCCUGGGCCGGGCCAUGCGCUGCCCCAAGUGCCUUCUCUGCCUGUCAGCACUGCUCACACUCCUGGGCCUCAAAGUGUACAUCGAGUGGACGUCCGAGCCCCGGCUGGGUAAGGCCUACCCGGGACCCCGCAGCUCCCCACCAGGCCCCACGCCAGCCAGCCCCGAGCCCACCCUGCCGGCUAACCUCUCGGCCCGUCUGGGCCAGACUGAUCCGCUGCCCUCGGCUUACUGGAACCAGCAGCAGUGGCGGCUGGGGACCCUGCCCGGUGGGGACAGCACUGAAGCGGGGGGCUGCCGCGCUUGGGGGGCUGCCGCUGCGGCAGAGAUCCCCGACUUCGCCUCCUACCCCGAGGACCUCCGCCACUUCCUGCUGUCGGCAGCCUGCCGGAGCUUCCCACGGUGGCUGCCCAGGGGUGGUGGUGGCCAGGUGGCCGGCUGCGAGGAUGCUGAUGUCCCCUACCUGCUGUUGGCCGUCAAGUCAGAACCAGGGCGCUUUGCAGAACGACAGGCCGUGAGGGAGACGUGGGGCAGGCCGGUUCCCGGGGUCCGGCUGCUCUUCCUGCUGGGGUCCCCGGCGAGCAAGGGGAGGCCUGACCUAGGCUCCUUGGUGGCCUGGGAGAGCCGCCGCUACAGCGACCUGCUGCUCUGGGACUUCCUUGACGUCCCCUUCAACCAGACGCUGAAGGACCUGCUGCUGCUAGCCUGGCUGGGCCGCCACUGCCCCAGCGUGAGCUUCAUCCUGCAAGCCCAGGGUGACGCCUUCGUGCACACCCCCGCCCUUCUGGACCACCUGCGGGCCCUGCCGCCCAGCGCAGCCCGUGGCCUCUACCUGGGUGAGGUCUUCACACAGGCCAAGCCCCUCCGGAAGCCUGGAGGACCCUUCUACGUGCCUGGGUCCUUCUUUGAAGGCGGCUACCCAGCCUAUGCAAGUGGGGGCGGCUACAUCAUCGCGGGCCGCUUGGCACCCUGGCUGCUGCGGGCAGCGGCCCGCGUGGCCCCCUUCCCCUUCGACGAUGUCUACACCGGCCUGUGCUUCCAAGCCCUGGGCCUGGCCCCCAGGACCCACAAAGGCUUCCUCACGGCCUGGCCGGCAGACCGCACUGCUGACCCCUGUGCUUUCCGUGACCUGCUGCUGGUGCGGCCCCUCGGCCCCCAGGACAGCAUCCGGCUCUGGAAACAGCUGCGGGACCCUCAGCUCCAGUGCUGAGACUUGGAGGUGCGGACAGGCGGGGAGGGCAGACCUGGCCUGGGCCUUGGCACCAGCCCCUUGCUCAGCCUCUCUUUCUAGGCCUCGGUGCGAGGAAGGAGGUCCUGGAAUGGAGGCUGCCUGAGCCCUCCCUGGGCCUCCCCAAGAGGCGACAGACUGUCUCUGUCUCUCAGUUUUUGAAAAAUACGCACUCCCCACUCUGAGGCCUGGAGUCGUCGUCUCUGUCUACAGGGCCUUGAGGAGACAAGAGGCCAUCUCUGGAGGACCCCAC